rnacentral:rRNA from 1 species
ACUGGGUCGCUAGAGUACUUUAGGGAGGGGUAGAAUUCCACGUGUAGCGGUGAAAUGCGUAGAGAUGUGGAGGAAUACCGAAGGCGAAGGCAGCCCCUUGGGAAUGUACUGACGCUCAUGUGCGAAAGCGUGGGGAGCAAACAGGAUUAGAUACCCUGGUAGUCCACGCUGUAAACGAUGUCGAUUUGGGGGUUGAGCUUUAAGUUUGGCGCCCGUAGCUAACGUGAUAAAUCGACCGCCUGGGGAGUACGGCCGCAAGGUUAAAACUCAAAUGAAUUGACGGGGGCCCGCACAAGCGGUGGAGCAUGUGGUUUAAUUCGAUGCAACGCGAAGAACCUUACCUACUCUUGACAUCCAGAGAACAUUC